rnacentral:rRNA from 1 species
CCUGAUGCAGCGACGCCGCGUGGGGGANGAAGGCCUUCGGGUUGUAAACCCCUUUCAGUAGGGACGAAAAUGACGGUACCUACAGAAGAAGCUCCGGCCAACUACGUGCCAGCAGCCGCGGUAACACGUAGGGAGCAAGCGUUGUCCGGAUUUAUUGGGCGUAAAGAGCUCGUAGGUGGUUCGGUAAGUCGGAUGUGAAAACUCAAGGCUCAACCUUGAGACGCCAUCCGAUACUGCUGUGACUUGAGUUCGGUAGAGGAGUGUGGAAUUCCUGGUGUAGCGGUGAAAUGCGCAGAUAUCAGGAGGAACACCAACAGCGAAGGCAGCACUCUGGGCCGAUACUGACACUGAGGAGCGAAAGCAUGGGGAGCAAACAGGAUUAGAUACCCUGGUAGUCCAUGCCGUAAACGUUGGGCACUAGGUGUGGGGAUUUAUCAACGAUCUCCGCGCCGUCGCUAACGCAUUAAGUGCCCCGCCUGGGGAGUACGGA